rnacentral:rRNA from 1 species
GAGGGUCUAUCUGUCUCUUGCAAUAAAUCAAUUAAACUGAUCUCCUAGUAAAAAAGCUAGAAUCCCCACAUAAGACCAGAAGACCCUGUGAAGCUUAAACUAAACUAUUAAACCCUAUAAUACUUACUUUCGGUUGGGGCGACCUUGGAAAAAAAAAGAACUUCCAAACAUAUGACCACACUCAUACAUAGGCCCACAAGCCUCAUAUAGACCCAGUACAACUGAUAAUUGAACCAAGUUACUCCAGGGAUAACAGCGCCAUCUUCUUCAAGAGUCCAUAUCAAAAAGAAGGUUUACGACCUCGAUGUUGGAUCAGGACAUCCUAAUGGUGCAGCCGCUAUUAAGGGUUCGUUUGUUCAACGAUUAAUAGU